UUUAAAGUGUAAUGUAAAUCGCUUUGGAUAAAAGCAUCUGCUAAAUGAUUGUAA
rfam:Gasterosteus aculeatus cont1.005594, whole genome shotgun sequence.